rnacentral:pre_miRNA from 1 species
UAACUACUCCCUCCGUCCAGAAAUACUUGUCAUAAGAAUGGAUAUAUCUACAUGUAUUUCAGUUCUAGAUAUAUCCAUUUUAUUCAUUCGUGCGACAAGUAAUUCUGGGCGGAGAGAGUAUUAC